AUUCUCUCAUUAUUAGCA
rnacentral:miRNA from 1 species